rnacentral:rRNA from 1 species
UACAGAGGUGGCAAGCGUUGUUCGGAAUUACUGGGCGUAAAGGGCGCGUAGGCGGCUUGGUCAGUCCCGUGUGAAAUCCCUCGGCUCAACUGAGGAACUGCACGGGAAACUGCCUGGCUUGAGUUCGGGAGAGGGAAGCGGAAUUCCGGGUGUAGCGGUGAAAUGCGUAGAUAUCCGGAGGAACACCAGUGGCGAAGGCGGCCACCUGGGCUGUACCUGACGCUCAAACACGAAAGCUAGGGGAGCGAACGGG